GCCAACAGUCAUACCACGUUGUAACACACCAGUUCUCAUCCGAUCACUGAAGUUACGCAACGUUGGGCAUGUAUGGGUACUUGUAUGGGUGACCGCUUGGCAACACCAUGUACCGUUGGCA
rnacentral:rRNA from 1 species